rnacentral:rRNA from 1 species
AGCACUGGAAACGGUGUCUAAUACCGGAUACGAGCUUCAGCCGCAUGGCUAGGAGUUGGAAAGAAUUUCGGUUUGGGAUGGACUCGCGGCCUAUCAGCUAGUUGGUGAGGUAAUGGCUCACCAAGGCGACGACGGGUAGCCGGCCUGAGAGGGUGACCGGCCACACUGGGACUGAGACACGGCCCAGACUCCUACGGGAGGCAGCAGUGGGGAAUAUUGCACAAUGGGCGCAAGCCUGAUGCAGCAACGCCGCGUGAGGGACGACGGCCUUCGGGUUGUAAACCUCUUUUAGUAGGGAAGAAGCGAAUGUGACGGUACCUGCAGAAAAAGCACCGGCUAACUACGUGCCAGCAGCCGCGGUAAUACGUAGGGUGCAAGCGUUGUCCGGAAUUAUUGGGCGUAAAGAGCUCGUAGGCGGUUUGUCGCGUCUGCUGUGAAAACCCGAGGCUCAACCUCGGGCCUGCAGUGGGUACGGGCAGACUAGAGUGCGGUAGGGGAGAUUGGAAUUCCUGGUGUAGCGGUGGAAUGCGCAGAUAUCAGGAGGAACACCAAUGGCGAAGGCAGAUCUCUGGGCCGUAACUGACGCUGAGGAGCGAAAGCAUGGGGAGCGAAAC